rnacentral:rRNA from 1 species
AGUGAACGCUGGCGGUAGGCCUAACACAUGCAAGUCGAACGGCAGCACAGUAAGAGCUUGCUCUUACGGGUGGCGAGUGGCGGACGGGUGAGGAAUACAUCGGAAUCUACUUUUUCGUGGGGGAUAACGUAGGGAAACUUACGCUAAUACCGCAUACGACCUACGGGUGAAAGCAGGGGAUCUUCGGACCUUGCGCGAUUGAAUGAGCCGAUGUCGGAUUAGCUAGUUGGCGGGGUAAAGGCCCACCAAGGCGACGAUCCGUAGCUGGUCUGAGAGGAUGAUCAGCCACACUAGAACUGAGACACGGUCCAGACUCCUACGGGAGGCAGCAGUGGGGAAUAUUGGACAAUGGGCGCAAGCCUGAUCCAGCCAUACCGCGUGGGUGAAGAAGGCCUUCGGGUUGUAAAGCCCUUUUGUUGGGAAAGAAAAGCAGCAGGCUAAUACCCCGCUGUUCUGACGGUACCCAAAGAAUAAGCACCGGCUAACUUCGUG